rnacentral:rRNA from 1 species
GAUGAACGCUGGCGGCGUGCCUAAUACAUGCAAGUCGAGCGAACGGACGAGGAGCUUGCUGCUCUGAUGUUAGCGGCGGACGGGUGAGUAACAUGUGUAUCACCUACCUAUAAGACUGGGAUAAUUUCGGGAAACCGGAGAUAAUACCGGAUAAUAUUCUGAACCGCAUGGUUCAAAAGUGAAAGACGGUCUUGCUGUCACUUAUAGAUGGAUCUGGGCUUCAUUAGCUAGUUGGUAAGGUAAAGGCCUACCAAGGCUACGAUGCAUAGACGACGUGAGGGGGUGGUAGGCGGCCUGGGAGCGGGGCCGCGGACCUGACUCCUGCGAGACGCAGCAGUCGGCAAUCUGACGCAGUAGGCGGAAGCCUGGCGGAACGGCGGCACGCGAGAGGUAGAGGUCUUCCGAUCGUAAUGAUCUGCUAUGAGUGAAGAACAUAUGUGUAAGUAAAUGUAGAGUGCGUGACGGUACCUGAUCAGGAAGCCCCGGCUAACUACGUG